CCCCAUCUCGCAGCUUUGACCCUCAUGUCUCCAGGAUCUCGAAGCAUAUGAAUGUGCAAAUCCCCACACAUCGCUCCAACACCUCCCCGCAUGUUUUACCCCCUCCUUCCCACAAUCCUACUGUGUUCCCUCAUGGACUGCAGCCCCAAAACCCUCACCCAAGCCACCGCCACCACCCCGCCCCUCCAACCCACCUCCACCAGCAGACACUGAGGCCCUCUCAUGGACAAACAGGAGAUUGCCAAAAGGCCAACAAGUUUCUGGCUGUGCUUGACAGGGGUGAAGCGUUCUCCCGUGAAAACUACCACAAAGUUGCACUGAGCUACGGCACCCUUCCACGAGCCCCCCGUAGGUCAGUUUCAUCUGGGCCUCCUGUGCACCAAAUGAGGCCCCCAGCGGGCCCGGGGCCCCGGAACUACCCAGACGCAGUCUACGCCACUCUGUCCCACCCUCACCGCACGACAGCAUCAAAUAGGACAAUGGAUGGUUUUUACAGACAGCCCCCACCAGAAAUCUGCUUCAGCCACCCCGAUCCCGCAUCACUCCAGCCAUCAUCACCCACACCUAGAGCUACCGUCCCAACCCCUCCGCCUCGAUGUGCCCCCCGAGAGGGACUGGAGGGCUGCUAGGGACUCUCAUUCCUUCCCCAGGACAGAACCACGUGGUGGGACAUCCCGUGGCCCUCCUGUUUAUAUCUGUGGGUUGUGCAAGCAGAACCCAGCUGAGCCUACUAGAAGCUACUGCCAGACCUGCAGAGCUCAUGUGAACCACUACAGGAAGACCAGCUGAGUCAUACAGGAAAUGCAUCCUUCAACGCACUCAUUCUCGGUUUUGGAAGUAAACGUGAGAGCCCAUGCCAAUUCUGUGAAGCUCUUCACACGGCAAAAAGCAGGAAGUUCUUGUUAGCUGCUUUGGCUAAAGACUCAUAAGUGAAUGUUUGACUCAUACAGUAUGUGAAUGUGGAGUGCUGCUUCAUUUAAACGCUAAAAGGAGGAUGUCCGCUCUCUGUGCUUUUACCUACAGUAAAUGUUCCCACUGCUAAUUCAGUUCUGUAGAGUUAAGUCCACAUUAAUUGGCCACCUUCUCAGCAAAAAAGCUGUGAAGAACAGAGCACUUUGCUACAUGGGACACUGCAUCUUCUCUGAUGCAAACACAAAACGCCAAGACUGACAAACUUUGCCUGCUGGCAUACAGUGUCUGCUCCGUAUAUGCACAAAAUACGCUUUAGUUUCCUACUAGCAUUCCAAGCUAACAUUAGUUAGUUCUGUGAUUGUAAUUGAACUAUGUUAACCCCAGUUUAGUGCACUUCAGAAGUGUUAAGUUAGAAGCUUCUCUGUUGUAACUUCUCCCAUUUUUAUGGGAAAACAAUGUUUUAAGUGUAACUACAUCAUUUAGAGGGAAGUAAUAAGAGGUACAUCAGAUUCCUCUAGUGUACUAACAGUCAACUUUCAACAACCUCAAUGGCAUUUGUGUCGGUAUUUUUGUGGACAGUAUUGUUCUGCCUGAUAGUAGCACCUACACCUGUUGUGAUCUUUUUUUAUAUAUAUAUAUAUUUUGUAGUAGCAGCAGUUUAACUUUUUGAUUCAUACCAUAUAUCUUACAUUAACUGUUAAGUGCAAAACUUUUUCAGGCUGUUAUAAGACUAAAGAGAUCGUAAACAGAAGGACAGAACAUUCUGCAGUGCCUUGGUUUGCAAAAGGCAACGUAACUGGGUGCCAGUGACCAUUUUAUAGAUUUCCAGUCAUAUAAUAAUGCUUAUUAUAGUAGUGCUAAAUUCAAGAAUUGCAAUUCUCAACUGAGAUCAUUUCAGUUUUUCCCCCACUGGAGGAUAAGUGAUUUUUAUAUUUAUUGUAUUUAAUUUCUUAGAUUCUGUUGAGGAGGAUCUUGUGGCUGGAGAUGGUUAACUGUUGAGUGUCUGUCAGCUAUUAGCAGAGUUUAACAAUGUGCCAUUUCAUGGAAAUGAAAGGGUUACCUGCUCAUCCAAGUGAACACGAGUAGUUUAUAUUGAAACAAAGGCCAAACAUUUGUUUAAUUUUAGAGCAUGUCAAAUACCUCAACCAUUCACAUGCUCCCUUGUUUUUAUUUCACCAGAACAGUUUAGCAUGUACUGUGGUUUGUUAAUCAGGACCUAACGGUGAAUCAGAGUGCCUCUGCAUUAAAUUCCCAUUGAAUUAUCGGAAGCUUUUUUUUUUUUCCUUGGUUUGGCCAAUCUGCAGUGUAGCACUGCCCUGGUGUGAUUACUGACAGAACAGGGAUCUGUGAUUGAUUCACCCUUCCUUCCUUUUUUUCUGCGUUAAAAUACGAACAGAUAUGGCAAAGAAGCAAGGCUGUAUAUAUAAGUGUGUACAGAUAUUCAGUCUUCGACCUUAAGAACAAACAGAUUCGGAUUUGUUGUAAAUGCCGUGCUAGAAAUGAAACUUGUAUUUUUGCAAUAAAGUUAUAUUGAGCUCCAGUCAGGAGCAGAACGUG